rnacentral:lncRNA from 1 species
CCUCAGCCUCCUGACCACAGAUGCCAGGUGACCUCAGAGGCCCUGCCGGAGCCCAGAGCACAUCAGAGGGCUGAGCCCACUGCAGACACCCCCUCGGCCUCCCGACCAAGGAUGCCAGGUGAUCUCGGAGGCCCUGCCGGAGCCGAGGGCACAUCAAGGGCUGAGCCCACUGCAGACACCCCCUCGGCCUCCCGACCAAGGAUGCCAGGUGGUCUCGGAGGCCCUGCUGGAGCCCAGAGCACAUUGGAGGGCU